rnacentral:rRNA from 1 species
UAACCGAAUAGGGGAGCCGUAGGGAAACCGAGUCUUAACCGGGCGUUAAGUUGCAGGGUAUAGACCCGAAACCCGGUGAUCUAGCCAUGGGCAGGUUGAAGGUUGGGUAACACUAACUGGAGGACCGAACCGACUAAUGUUGAAAAAUUAGCGGAUGACCUGUGGCUGGGGGUGAAAGGCCAAUCAAACCGGGAGAUAGCUGGUUCUCCCCGAAAGCUAUUUAGGUAGCGCCUCGUGAAUUCAUCUCCGGGGGUAGAGCACUGUUUCGGCUAGGGGGCCAUCCCGGCUUACCAACCCGAUGCAAACUGCGAAUACCGGAGAAUGUUAUCACGGGAGACACACGGCGGGUGCUAACGUCCGUCGUGAAGAGGGAAACAACCCAGACCGCCAGCUAAGGUCCCAAAGUCAUGGUUAAGUGGGAAACGAUGUGGGAAGGCCCAGACAGCCAGGAUGUUGGCUUAGAAGCAGCCAUCAUUUAAAGAAAGCGUAAUAGCUCACUGGUCGAGUCGGCCUGCGCGGAAGAUGUAACGGGGCUAAACCAU